rnacentral:tRNA from 1 species
CCGACCUUAGCUCAGUUGGCAGAGCGGAGGACUGUAGUUGGAGCUGUAAUCCUUAGGUCGCUGGUUCGAAUCCGGCAGGUCGGA